GCCCUUGCAGGGCUCCAGGGGAUUUUCUGUGUGUGAGUGUUGAAUGAUGAGCUCUGAAAAGUGAUGUUCUUGCUCUCCAGCCUCCCUCCAUCCCUUUGUGUCCCCAUGCAGGCAGUGUGGCAGGGCUGUGUCCUUCCUAGAAGUGCUUUGGGAUACCCUGAGCAGAGAGCACGCUGCUCUGACCCCUGACCAUCAGACCCCUCAGAGCUGAGCUUCAGUCACAUUCCCCUGGAGAAAUUCAUUUGGGGUGUGCAAGCAGAAGUAACCAUGAGGCAGGAGCUGGAAGUUGAAACUGUGCUCACAAGCCUGGCCCAGCCUGAUGUCAGGGGACAACCUCUGACAGCAGAAAUAAAAGCCUGUUGUAACAGCAAGAGUAAUGAUCUGGAUGCUGGUGGAAGGUUCCUGCAGCUGCACCAUCAGUGCAGAUCUACACCUGGAGCUGUUUGCAAGCAGGAUUUGUCCUGGGCCCAGUUUGGAGCUCAAGGCAGCUGGAGAAGCAGCGAUGCUUGCAGAGUUCCUAAGAUGUUUGCAAUGACAUAUGAGCCAGCACUGCUGUUCUUUUGCACAAACCCUGUUGGGCCAGGCGCUGCAUUGGUGCAGAGCAAAAAGCAGCCCUGAAGAGCUCUCAGGCUCACAAGGGUUGGUUGGUCAGAUGAAUGAUGCUGCCUCCUGCAGCUCCCGUUCCCCACGGCUGUGCCCCAGGAGCUCAAGGCAUUAGGAGCAGAGGGAAUCUCUACGCUGGCAAGAUUCAGAGAGGCACAAAGGAGGGAAAAACAAGUUUCAGCCAGAAGAGAGGGGAAAAAAAAAAAAAAAAGGAUGCUGUUAGCAUUCCCUGUGUUUGAGGGGGUAAAAACAUUUUGCUGUCAACUCUGUUUUAAAGGGUAAGUGACAAGGGCAGCCCAGUUACUAUGCAAAUAAAUCCUGUGCUCAGCCUUUUUCUCUCAGUGCAAAGUUUUGGUGCUGGGGAUUGUUAGCCAGGGGAGCUGGGCUGUGGGGGCUGGCAGUGCCCCCCAUGUCCCCAGUGCUCCCAGCCCCAUUCUGGGGAUAGCCACUGGCUGGGGGUGCCACUGCAAAGCUCUGGACCUUGCCAGGAGACGUGGGGGUGCCCCAGAUGAGGUGGGACAGUGGGGGAAGCACUGCAGAGGUGUGGGCUGGGUACCCCCUGCUCCUUAUCACAAGCAGAUUCAGGCAGCUGCUGGCAGCAGAGCCUUUGGCUGUGCCUCUGUGACAGGGGACACCCCAGGGAGAGAGAGUGCCUGAAAGGGCAGAAAUCUCACCCAGGACAUCCCCUUUCAUGGCAGGCAAGAGGGGAGGGUCUGGCAGCAGCCACCCUGGGGUACAGGGCUGUCUCUCACUCGCUGCUGCCAGGUGGAAAGGGAGGUGAUGCCAGGACACGAUGCCAGACUGUGGCUGGGUUCAUCCAGAUGAUCACCAGCACCCCAGCACUGGUAUUUAUGGUGACACUUCCCCAUGACAGCAGAGGGGCUGCACAUGCCCCAGCCCACACAAGCCAAACCUCCCCCUGACAGCCCCAGUGUGAUGGUUUCCUAUAAAAAAGAUUUGAAUUUGUCAUGCAAAUGACUGGGCAUGCAGGCACAGCUGCUGAGAGGAGGCCUGGGCUGGGUUGGCUGCCAGCAUGGCCACAGGGAUGUGCCCAGGAAAAGGUCUGGCCCCCCAAAGCUGCUCCUACCCCUGGAACCUGCCAAGCAGAUGGUGCUGCCAGGGCUGUGCUGCCAAAACCACGCAGCCCUUGCUGCUCCUCCUGGUGCCUGUGGCUCACUGAAGCUUUUAAAGCAAGCAUUGUGACCCUGCUGCUCGUCCCCUCCCCUGGCUUCUGUCUGGCUGCAGCAGAGCUGAGCUGCCCAGGAUGAGCUUGCUUUGUGCUGGGACAACAUAAGGAGGUGGAAGAGGAUGCUCCAUCAAGCAAUGCACUAAAAAAAAUAAAAAUAAAAAAAAUUAUACUUUUAA